UAUAAGACAGUGAAGAGAAGAGUAAGUAUAAAAGGUAGUUAUAGCGAGUCGAUGGUGGUGAGAGAUCGAUACGAGAUUUAUACAGAAGAACAUCUCUGAGUUUCUAACUGAAAUCAAUAUUUUGAAAGUAGGCUUAGACGGAAUCCAUACCGUUAAAAUUGGGAAGUAUUGAUUGAUACUUUUACUUAAGUUGAGCUUAUUUUAAGCUAAUUAGGGUGGUACCGCGGAAUUUCAACCUUUCGUCCCUUUA
rnacentral:ncRNA from 1 species